GCAAUCCCCAGAGUGAAUGUAGUUCUCCAAUCCCCCAAACAUGAGCCAAGACUUCAUGAAGGGGAAAACAAAUCUCAGUUUAAUGGGAGCCACACUUGGCCUUAUAUGGCAAACCCCAUGCAAGGGGUACGCCCACAUGGACCUGAUGGUAGACUGAUUUGCAACUUCACAGACCAAUAACAAUAAGGUUACAAGGCACAACACUCC